AGCGAACGCUGGCGGCAGGCCUAACGCAUGCAAGUCGAACGAACUCUUCGGAGUUAGUGGCGGACGGGUGAGUAACACGUGGGAACGUGCCUUUUGGUUCGGAAUAACUCAGGGAAACUUGUGCUAAUACCGAAUGUGCCCUUCGGGGGAAAGAUUUAUCGCCAUUAGAGCGGCCCGCGUCUGAUUAGCUAGUUGGUGAGGUAACGGCUCACCAAGGCGACGAUCAGUAGCUGGUCAGAGAGGAUGGCCAGCCACACUGGGACUGAGACACGGCCCAGACUCCUACGGGAGGCAGCAGUGGGGAAUCUUGCGCAAUGGGCGAAAGCCUGACGCAGCCAUGCCGCGUGAAUGAUGAAGGUCGUAGGAUUGUAAUAUUCUUUCACCGGGGACGAUAAUGACGGUACCCGGAGAAGAAGCCCCGGCUAACUUCGUG
rnacentral:rRNA from 1 species